AAAACAUGUCCUUUUGUUUAUAUAUAAGGUCUAAUCUGCUCAAUGAUAUUUAAAUAGCUGCAGUAUUUUGACUGUACAAAGGUAGCAUAAUCAUUUGGUCUUUAAUUGGGAUCUGGCAUGAAAGAUUGGACGAAAAAUAUACUUUCUUUAUAUUAUGACAAAAACUUAAUCUUUAAGUCAAAAAUCUUAAAUUUAUUUAUAGGACGAGAAGACCCUAUAGAACUUUAUAUAUAUAUAUUAUAUUUUCUUUUAGUUUAUUUUUAUAAAUAUCUUUUAUAUAUAUUUUGUUGGGGUGACAUAAAAAAUACAAUAACUUUUUAUUUAUAUUUCGUUAUUAUACGAUUAUAAUGAUCCUUUUUUAUGGAUUACAAGAUCAGUUACCUUAGGGAUAACAGCGUUAUUACUCUGGAGAGUUCAUAUUGAUAGAGUAGUUUGCGACCUCGAUGUUGGAUUAAAAUAAGUUUUAGGUGUAGAAUUUUAAUAACUAGGUCUGUUCGACCUUUAAUUUUUUACAUGAUCUGAGU
rnacentral:rRNA from 1 species